rnacentral:rRNA from 1 species
CAGUAGCCGCGGUAAUACGAAGGGUGCAAGCGUUACUCGGAAUUACUGGGCGUAAAGCGUGCGUAGGUGGUGGUUUAAGUCCGUUGUGAAAGCCCUGGGCUCAACCUGGGAAUUGCAGUGGAUACUGGGUCACUAGAGUGUGGUAGAGGAUAGUGGAAUUUCCGGUGUAGCAGUGAAAUGCGUAGAGAUCGGAAGGAACAUCUGUGGCGAAGGCGACUAUCUGGGCCAACACUGACACUGAGGCACGAAGGCGUGGGGAGCAAACAGGAUUAGAUACCCGUGUAGUCCCUGUCUCUUAUAC